rnacentral:lncRNA from 1 species
UCUGAAUAAUACUUAAAUAAAAUGAGUAAAUAGAGUAAGCAACAAAAUGAAUAAAAGCACAUGAGUUCAAGAUCUUCUCUGUUUUGCAGUGUUGAUUUAUCUCUCCAAUUCUAAAGUCACCCCUUUCAAUGGUGGCUUCUUGCUUCCUCCAAAUUAGGUCUAAAAAGGUCUCUAGGCAAAUCUGCCUCUAAAAUGAUACAAAACCCUAAGAAAUAGCCUAACAUGCGGCCAGAGACUUAAAAUGUAAUUAUUGAAACUUUUGUGAAACUUUAAUUCUUCUAAUUUGUCAUUAACUCUCGGGUGGCUUCGCCGUCGAUCGAUAUGAAGAGCUCAUCAUCGAUCGAUAUUCCUUGGUAACUAUCGGUCGAUAUUCUGACAAAUAAUCGACCAUCCAGCAAAGUUCAGAAAGUCUCCAAAUAACUCCAAAUACAUCAUUUUCUUCCAGAUAAUACCUGAACCUUUAAGUAUUCUAAAUAGACUCUAUAUAGUAAUAAUAUAUCUUAAAACACUCAUAAACCAUGAUUAAAAAUGAGUAAAAUUCAUAGUCUAUCAGCUACCCGCAAACCUACUAUGAAGAUACAAUUCCGGUCGAUCAUAGUGCACGAGUUAUCUACUGGCCUCAUUUAUGAAAUCUAAAGAGAAGGUUUUGGGGACAAUUAAUCUAUGAAGUCAUUUUUCUGUUUAGAAUAUGACGCCGACCUUAUUCUUCUACUUAAACUGCUUCCGACCUCUGGAUCGCGUUUUCUUCAUGUUUUCAGGUAAAAUGGAAAGUGUAUACUGAAGAGAUAUCUUUCCAUAUUUCAGGAUAUGAAAGUAUCUAACCUAUAUUUUGACUAUAAUGAGCUAUAAAAGAAACUCCAAAACUCUACAAGUGAAAAAUCGACUAUUCUACGCAUCGACUAUAUAAAAAUAGAUUUUUGAACGUAUACGCUCUGUUUCCUGCUCUGUUAAUCAUGGAACAAUACUUUUGAUUGACUAUUCUUGUUUUAUUACGGAAUUUCAUGUUUUUAUAGUAUCACAAAGAAUCAUAUUUUAUUUUACUCUAACAAAACAGAUGUUAUGUAUAACUAAAGUUACUAUAGGUAUCAAUACAAAUAUUAUAAAAUAUUUGAAAAUAGUCAUAUUUAUUUUUCAGAAACAAGAAAAUAAUUAAAUUAAAUAAUUAUAUAAAACCUGUUCUUAGAAAAAUAUUUAACAAACAGAAUUUAUAUUCAAUUUUUGAAGGUAAAAAUAUAUAAUAAUAUGAAAAAAUAUAAUAAUAUAAUGUUAUAACAUAUUCAAACUCGGAAAUUUCCAGUAUCAUUUUUUUACUAUCUAUUAAACACAUAGUAUAAAAUAAUUGAUUAAAGCAAUAGUACACUGUCAAAAAGAAAAAGAAAAUAAGAGAAACCAAACAAGAACAAAUAUUUACAAUAACAAAAUCAUUAUAAUUAUAUAGAUUAUGAAUUCCUUUUGUUAUAUGAUCGAAUUUCUCAACCUAUAAUCCUUGGAUUUUUAAAGAUUAUUAGCACACACAAAAAAAAUUAUUAGCUUUAAUCAUUAAGAAAAGGGCCAACGCGAGAAUAUCUUAUUUCUUUCUGAGGGAAAAGAAAAUUGAUUGGGAAGAUAAGAGGAGCGCGUCUCUAUCCUGCACCACAUGAAACGUGUCACUUUGUAAAUACAUAUCUUUUACAUAAAAUGAACCAUGAUGAACGGCUGAGAUCCAUCUGUGUUGACGGACGCGUUUUAUAUGAAGAUGAAAAAGUCAACACAUCGAACGGCUCCAUCAAAUCUUCUGAAGCUUCCCCGCUUUGACCAACGGGUUGGCCUUCGCGAUCUCUUCGCGACCGGCAGAUUUGAAAUCGAAGGUGCAUCCAUGGACCUCCGGGUACCUGUGGGCCCCGCAAAACGUCGUCCCGCACCGGCACUUGAACCCGGUCAACCCGACCCGUUUCCUACACGUGGUACACCGGUUCGGCCGUUUCUGCUGCUGCUCCGUCGCCGUUAUCGUCACCGGCACGUCCUUCGCCGUUACCUCCAGUUCAGCAGAUGGGUUUUGAACGAGGGGAUGGAUCAACGGAGUAGAGAUGGAAGUUAUCACCGGCGAUGGAGGAGAUACGGCGGAGAGAGAGGAUGAGCCUUGCUGCUGUUGUUUAAGACAGAGAUCGCCGUAGCAGUUGGAGCAUAGAUUCAUGGUUGCGGAGUUGCCGAGGAAGCCGCAGUUAUUAGCACAGAGACGGUGGCCUUCCGGCGUUUGACAUCGAUGCUCUUCCGCCAUGGAUCUUGAUUGUAAUUCAAGAACUUAAAUCAAUGAAGCUCGUCAAAAAUAUCUGAAAACAAAUAAAGAGACAAAUGAUUAAAGACGGUAAAAAAUCUACAGAGUUUAGAAAAGAAGAACAAAACACGAACCGAAUCUGGUCACCGAGAAAGAAAAAUUCAGAAAAUUUUCCUCCGUUUCUCAGCAACCAAACAGAAAUGAAAAACUAAAAAGAGGGAAAGUUUAUUAAAAAAAAAAAGAGAAAAGACAGAGAAGAGAGGAGAGGAAGAAGGAGCGGAGGAGAGAGAUUGUGUUUACCUGUCUUGAGAGAAGAAGAAGAAAGAUGACUCACUGAUCUUUAUCUUUACCAAACAACAAUGAUAAUGGGAAGAGAAAAUAUAUAUACACAGCUACGUUGAGGAAGAAAGAAACAACGACGAAACAGAGACGACUCUGCUCAAGAUUUAAAUAGAAUAAUUAUUUUUAUAAUCUCACUAACUCUCUAAUAAAAUUUAUACUGCUAUAUAUAUAAUAUAAUAUAGUAUUUAUACACGUAAUGCACCUAUUUUGACGAUCAAAUCUUAUCCUACUGGUUAAUAAAUGUCGGCAUGGUGGUGUGUCACUUAUUUGAUUCAUAUAAUAAAUUUGAUUAGAUAGGUCAAACUUUACACCGUGUGGGGGACAAAACUUAGACCAUCAUUAUCGGGAAUCCUUUAAUAGGAUCCUUAAAUAAAAUUAGUGAUUAAAGAAAAAGGUUGUUAUCGAUUUUUAAUGGGCUAUUUUGGUGAUCGGUUCUAAGCAACCACGUGUCAGCACCAUAUUUUAUCUUUUUUUUUUGCUUUUCUUUCUUUUUUUACUUCUCCUCCGUCUUCAGGUCGUCUCCGUCGCUUCUCUGUUACCAGCUCGCCGUCGCGUCUCACCUUCGCCUUGGGUCUUCUUCAUCCUUGUCGACUCAGUCUUGGCUCGUGGUGGUGAUUGAGUUCAUCUUCAGGCCAGCAUACGAACUCAGAGGUAGUGCUUCAUCCUCUGCCGUCACGUCUCACCUCCGUCGCAUCUCUUGCUUCCCCUGAGUCCUACUGGAGCUGGAGCUUAAUCGCCUAGAGAACGAACUCAGAGGUAGUGCUUGAUCUAGUUCUUUAAUGUGUCGAUUCAGAUCUAAGGACUUUGUUUUUUUUUUACUUUGUUCUUGAAUGGUUGGUUUCUCACAUAAGGAUCGAGAGUUAGGGGAAGCACAUACUGAGAUCAGAGCGUUGAGGUUGUCUGAGAGGCAAAGAGAGAAAGCUGUUGAAGAGGUGUGUAGUUGUUGUUAUUAAUCUUCAUCACUUGCUUUUAGUUUCUAUAUAAUGGGUCCGAUUGGUAAUGGCUGUAGCUUUAAAUUUUUUGCUGUAGAAAAAAAUCUGUAGAUUUUUUGCUGUGGCUUUAAAUUUUACUGCUGUAGAAUUUUAUGAAAGCACUAAAAAUUUGCUUUGGAUAUUUGGCUCUGCAGAGCACUUGUACAGCUGUAGGUUAUUUCUAGAGCUGUGGCUUCAAAAAAAAUUUAAAGCUUGAUUGCUCUGAAUUUGGUGCUUUAGAAAUAAAUAAGGCUGUGGACAGCACCUACAGCAAACCUACAGCAACUACCAAUCACCCCCAAUGUCUCUCAUGUUUAUUUUGUACUUAUAGCUUACGAAUGAGCUUACUAAGUUGGAGGAGAAGCUUAAGUUAACUGAAUCUCUUCUCCAAGGCAAAGUAAUUAUUGAAAACCCUCCUUAAGCAUCAAUUCUUUUUUUUAUUUCAGCUGGUUAUUUGAUUAUGGUGAACAAUGUUGCAGAAUCUAGAAAUCAGGAAGAUCAAUGAGUAAAAGAAGGCCUCUAUGGCUGCUCAGUUUGCUGCUGAAGCCACUUUAAGAAGGGUCCAUGCUGCUCAAAAAGAUGAUGACAUGCCUCCUAUUGAAGCCAUUCUAGCUCCUUUAGAAGCUGAACUUAAGCUUGCACGCUCUGAGGUAUUUUAGUCUCAUAUUUAGUUUGUGAUUGUCUGCUGCAUUAUCAAAGAAGGUCUUAAUGGCGCUCAUAGCUUUAUUACACAUGUGAAUAUAACUCCGGUCGGUUCAGGACUUUAAACACGGCAAAGCCAUAGCCAAAGACUAAAAAGGUAUUGCAUUCUGAGACUUGGAAGCAUGCGUUUUCUGAAUUUGCUUGCAAAUUGUUAGGAUUGUUUGAUUGGUUUGAAUAUGCUUGUUUGAGUUAGGUUGUGGUUAGAAUUUUUUUUUUUUAAGAAUCCUUAUUAAGAAACUACCAUUGGAGGCACAAAAUCAAAUAGUUUCUUAAGUAAAGUUCUUAAGUCCACUAAAGUACAUUUAUAUACUUAAAUAAUCCUUAAGAAACACAAAUGGGUUUUUGUGGAUAAUCAUGCUCUUAGGUUUACCGGAUGAACCUUGAAAUUCACCCCACCCUUUAGGACCAAUCAAAGUGACACAUAGAUUAUUAAUUAAAAAACAUUAAAUUAAAUAAAAAAUAGCUACAAAAAAUAAAAACGCUAAUUUUAACGACGCUAACGCUUCCAGCUAAACCCUAAACCCUAAAUCUUAAAUUCUAAACCCUAUACCCUAAAUUCUAAACCCAAAUCCCCAUUUCUAUUCUGGUUGAUACAUUCGUAAACCUCCAAUUUAUAUUUUUCUUCAUAUUUUUCUCUAGGUGAUCCACAUUCCAUCAAAAGCCAACUUCACACAUAUAAUAACUCGAAAAUGACUAAACAUACUGGAUAAAGAAUGGAAAAAAAUUAUAAAAAAUAUUAAAAUGUGUAAAGAACACAAUAAAUCAAUUCCUCCGGACUUAGAUCAUUGUUUGUCCUCAAACAAAGUUAGAAUCUAAAGAAUGAAAGAAAUGAUUUAAAACACAUGAACUAUCAAAUUCUCAACAACCAUACUUCAACCACAAAUCGAAGACCAACACAAACAAUAAAACCAGAACAACACACCUUUACUAAAAACCCCGACUAGCUCCUUUUCAAAUUUACUCCAUACUUGUUAUCUCAAACCUACAAAAGCCACAUUUUCCAAACAAAAAAACCUUAUAUUAAAUUAAGAGUAGUGUGAGGUUCUCAUCACAUGCAUCAUUCAGGGUAGACGACACUAGGUAUAAAACAUGAUAAUUUGAUGGUGGAGUUGGAGUUGGAGGUGUUUAAGGGUUAACAUUUUGAUGUAGAUGAUGCAUAAUAUCACACAAUAUCACAUAUGAAGAUAGACUUACUGAUUUCCACAGCCACUACUCGUUCUGAUUUCACUUUUUCUUCAACUUUAAACGCGGCUUUCACUCUUCUUGAUUACCCAAUGAAAUACAUGAUUUAUUUGUUGUUUCUUCUCCAUCUCCAUUUUUUUAAGAUGUGAUGAAGAAGGAAGCAAUACUCAUCACAUUUGUGCUCAUGGUGGUUCUGAUUUCACCACUUUUUGAUUCUGCACUUUUCAUUCCUUUAACAGGUUCUAGAGCAGUCGAGGUUCUAAUCGAAUGUAUUGCAGAAAUAACGAGCCAUAAAAGCAAAUCUCUCAACUCGCUUCUUAUUAAAGGCAGCCCCACUCCUAUCUACUUGGGAAAAUUCCUUCACAAUGGUGUCACCAUCCUAGGAUGGAGAUAGAACAUGUCUUCACCACCACUGAAAGGAGAUAAAUAAUAUGAGAAGAGAACUUCAUUGAUCUUCAAACCAAGGUCUGUAAAUAUACCAAGGUUCUGAAUAGAUAUAAGAGUCCUCUAAAUUAGAGGGUUAAGCUGACAAGAUGAUAUCUCAAAAUACUCUGAUAUCUUAACUAUCAAUGCAUGACCUUAUCUCUAAAACCCAACUCAAAGAAGCCACAUAAACAAUGACUUCAUCUAGUCCAAAAUUAGAACCUCGACUAUCAAGAUUAGGGACCUUGUCCUUCUUCGGCAAGAGAAUACCUCUCUCUCUCUCUCUCCAUUAUCUGAUAUCAUCCUCCCGACACCGAAGGAGGUCCUAUCUUGUUAGGUUUCAUGGACACAGCCAUCGGUUCCAGAUUUUUGACCUUCCUUUUAUAUCAAUAGAAGACCCCGAUGAAAUGAUGGAUCCCGAAACAUUAAGACCAAUUUUCUCUUCGAUCUAACCUAACUACGUAUAGAAGGAGAAAGAUAUGUACUACGGUUAGGGGUACCUUCCAUUUCUACCGGAAACAAAAGCAAAAGAUCUACUAAACCCUAGAAUUCUAUGACCAGAGAACAAAGAGAUUACCUUGAUACGCUAGACGGAAGGGGAAUCUAUAAACGAAUUUAAUCCAAGAUUCUGAAGAAAGCGAGAUCGCAAGAAGAAAAUUGCAACAUAUGAGAAAGAACAAGAAGAUUAUGUGGAGAGAGGAAAGAAACCUAAGAUUAUUGCUUCUCACAAGAUAGGAAGACAAGAUUCCCCUGAUAACUCUGACAGACUUAUGUGGCCACCACCAAUCAGAUAAAAUUCUCUGCCCAUUGUAGCAUUCCUCGAGUUAUAUACUGGCUCAGCCAUAACCACUUGCUCAUAGGCAGAAAGACAACAUUUCUCAUGAAAGCAUAUCGACAAAUCUAUCAUCUUGUUCUUCUACAUUCCAUCUAGAUCAUAUGAUUUCACGGCCACUGAUGUCAUGCGCCAUAAGACGGAUCUUGUAAAUCAUUGUAAUGUUAAUCCGAGAUCACGAAUCAACUAAGAUCACAUGAUCACACAUGAAUCUGUGCCAAAACAGCUUACAUGACGAUAAUUUCUCUCAAAUCCUCGUAAUGAGGCAUUUACUACCGAAUUUCAUUAUGGUUUAGGCUAAGAUAAUCUGAGAAAAUCUUUAAGAAGCAUCGUCGUGCUCACGCUACUGAUAUCGCUCAAAUUACCCUAGGGAGUGAAUUACUCUCUCAAAUAAGAGGUUCGGAUGUAGUACUUAGGGAUCGAAUCCACAGAGACUCUAGGAUUACACAAUAGAUUAUGGUUUUGGAAUAAAUCUAGAUUAAAUGGUUUAUAAGUUUUAAAGCAGUUAAUGGAGUGGUGAGCAAGUGUAUUGCUCUAUUGAUUUGUUUUGGGGUUUGUUAACAGUUGGGAGAUUUAGCUAGAUUCAGGUAUAUUCUCAGGUAUGAUAAGUAAAACUUAGGGUUUUUAGGGGUUUAUUGAUGUUAAUCAUUCUUGAAUUCAAACUUUAGAUAUAAUCAAUCUGAUUAUCUAAUCUGGAUCUCGGAUUUCAACUCUCGUAUGUUAAUCACGAGAAAGUGUUGAUCGAUUAUUCGUUACGAAUAUCGAUCGAUACAGCUUUCAAAAUAUCGGUCGACAGGGCUAUCGCUGAGUCGAUUGAUACUUCUUCCAGAGAGCUUUACGGACAGGUUUGAUCUAAAUUCUCUAACUCACUAGACCAACUCUCGUCUGUAUCUAGUCAGUUAGAUCAUACUAGUUAUUUUCAGGUAUUGAGGCAAGCAAUGGAUUGAUCCCAAUUAAUCCUAAGAUCUAAAUUUAAAGGGUGAUCAAUCCUAAACUUAGCUUUAAGCAUAACUAGAUGAAAGAAUUAUAUUUCUAAACACUCUAACAAUUGUUGUUGUUAGUAAUACAUUUAUCAACCUAAUUAGAAACCUAAAUCUAACAAUAAAGAUUACUCAUACAUAUUCAUGGAACACAUAGUUAUGAUGGUCUGAAUAAUACUUAAAUAAAAUGAGUAAAUAGAGUAAGCAACAAAAUGAAUAAAAGCACAUGAGUUCAAGAUCUUCUCUGUUUUGCAGUGUUGAUUUAUCUCUCCAAUUCUAAAGUCACCCCUUUCAAUGGUGGCUUCUUGCUUCCUCCAAAUUAGGUCUAAAAAGGUCUCUAGGCAAAUCUGCCUCUAAAAUGAUACAAAACCCUAAGAAAUAGCCUAACAUGCGGCCAGAGACUUAAAAUGUAAUUAUUGAAACUUUUGUGAAACUUUAAUUCUUCUAAUUUGUCAUUAACUCUCGGGUGGCUUCGCCGUCGAUCGAUAUGAAGAGCUCAUCAUCGAUCGAUAUUCCUUGGUAACUAUCGGUCGAUAUUCUGACAAAUAAUCGACCAUCCAGCAAAGUUCAGAAAGUCUCCAAAUAACUCCAAAUACAUCAUUUUCUUCCAGAUAAUACCUGAACCUUUAAGUAUUC